rfam:Diplodia seriata DS_831_scaffold_v01_171, whole genome shotgun sequence.
ACAGACUCAUAGAAUCAUUUCUAUAGUAAACGUCUCCUUCUGAGCUCCUUACCAGAGCCACAGAAUCUCCAACCUGGCUGAUGAUUCGAUACCCCGGCGCCCUAGAGUGAAGCCUUGUACUGCGGCUUCGGCUGCAGUGGUGAUGAUCUCGUCCCUUCCAGAUGCCCGACUUCGGUCGGUCUGGCUGGGUGGGUGCUGGUGGUCGUCUGACAGGC